rnacentral:rRNA from 1 species
AUGCGACGCAAAUGUCAAAGAUGGAGAUUUGAAGGCCAUCACGAGAUCACAUCCAGGAGGGCGAGGAGACGCGCCCACGGCGGCAGCAUCGACGAGGAGGCGCCCAGCAGAGACACGCACGGAGAGACGCGCCCACGGUGGCGGCGGCCAGCAGAUGGACGGAGGAGCCUACAGAGGAGGCCCCGCUGCGCCCUUGCGAUGAGAGAAGGAAAGCGGCGGCGACGGUGGCGGAUGACGCGCCGACUUCGGUUGCACCAGCGCAUGGACCAGAAGCAACCGGUAGCCGUAUGGCACACCGGGACAGCACAAGGAGGAGGCUGCGGCCUACACGCGCCGACGCACAAACGUCCAGCAAAAGCCUCAUGCCAUUUCCAUGGCGUCGAUGAGAUGCUCGGUGGCAACGACGUCGAGACUCGUACCAACAAGCCCUAA